rnacentral:rRNA from 1 species
GAUGAACGCUGGCGGCGUGCCUAAUACAUGCAAGUCGAGCGAACAGACGAGGAGCUUGCUCCUCUGACGUUAGCGGCGGACGGGUGAGUAACACGUGGAUAACCUACCUAUAAGACUGGGAUAACUUCGGGAAACCGGAGCUAAUACCGGAUAAUAUAUUGAACCGCAUGGUUCAAUAGCGAAAGACGGUUUUGCUGUCACUUAUAGAUGGAUCCGCGCCGCAUUAGCUAGUUGGUAAGGUAACGGCUUACCAAGGCAACGAUGCGUAGCCGACCUGAGAGGGUGAUCGGCCACACUGGAACUGAGUCACGGUCCAGACUCCUACGGGAGGCAGCAGUAGGGAAUCUUCCGCAAUGGGCGAAAGCCUGACGGAGCAACGCCGCGUGAGUGAUGAAGGUCUUCGGAUCGUAAAACUCUGUUAUUAGGGAAGAACAAAUGUGUAAGUAACUAUGCACGUCUUGACGGUACCUAAUCAGAAAGCCACGGCUAACUACGUG